AGCCAUCUUAUUUUCAGCUGCUGAGUCAACACAUUUCCUUUUUGACUGAGCCAGUUUGGGUUGGGUUUUUCUAUAACUGCAACUAAAUAAUCCCACUGACAUCCAUCAGAGCCUCUCUUCCCAAACAGGAGCUCCGCACUCUGAUUCCAUAAAAAAGAUAACUGGUUUUUCUAGAGACCUCAUCUGUGAAUGAAUCAGGCCACAUUCAAGAGGGUGUUUGGACUCUGCAGAGGGAGCUGCACCCUCUGCGCCUCCAGCACCCAGUGCUGGGAGAUAGACCCUCGGUGAUUUAGUGAGUCAGUGAAGUGGAGUGACUUUCGCAGUCCCCCAGGCUGGCUCGCACGGAGCGUGGUGGCCUUCGGUCCCCCUCUUGUCUCACCCUCAGAGUCUCCCUCACCAGCAGUCUGCAUGCAGGGACCAGAGGCAGAGCAGUUACUGCCAGGAAAGGUGGGCCAUGUAACAAGUUCUGCCUAUGAAAUAGAAAUGGAAGUGUGAUGGUUGUUUCUGGGCUGAGUUACAGAAGACUGUGUGACACCUAUAUCCUUUCUCUUCCAUUCUGCUAUUUUCUCGUUAAAGUUCAGCCAGCUGUAU